GAUGAACGCUGGCGGCGUGCCUAAUACAUGCCAGUCGAGCGAACAGAUAAGGAGCUUGCUCCUUUGACGUUAGCGGCGGACGGGUGAGUAACACGUGGGUAACCUAUCUAUAAGACUGGAAUAACUCCGGGAAACCGGGGCUAAUGCCGGAUAACAUGUUGAACCGCAUGGUUCUACAGUGAAAGGCGGCUUUGCUGUCACUUAUAGAUGGACCCGCGCCGUAUUAGCUAGUUGGUGAGGUAACGGCUCACCAAGGCAACGAUACGUAGCCGACCUGAGAGGAUGAUCGGCCACACUGGAACUGAGACACGGUCCAGACUCCUACGGGAGGCAGCAGUAGGGAAUCUUCCGCAAUGGGCGAAAGCCUGACGGAGCAACGCCGCGUGGGUGAUGAAGGUCUUCGGAUCGUAAAGCUCUGUUAUUAGGGAAGAACAAAUGCGUAAGUAACUGUGCGCGUCUUGACGGUACCUAAUCAGAAAGCCACGGCUAACUACGUG
rnacentral:rRNA from 1 species